rnacentral:sRNA from 1 species
GCAUGAUCUGGCUCAUUGCAACCUCUGCCUCCUGGGUUCAAGAGAUUUUCCUGCCUCAGCCUCCCGAGUAGCUGGGACUACAGGUGCCCGCCACCACACCCGGCUAAUCUUUGUAUUACAGGAUAGAGUGUGUUCUUGGAAGCCUGGCGUGGAGGGAGGGAGAGCAGGUAGCACAGUUACAGAAGGAUCUUCGGGAUAUGGAAAUGCGGUAUUUGUGGACACUCAUUCAUCUAACACACAUUUGUUGAGCUCCUAAUGUGUAUAGAACUGAAGGGAUGGAGUCAUGGGCAGUGGAAAAGCUGAAAUUGUGUAAAAGACAGAGAAGGAUCAGUGGCUAUGGUCUCGAAGAUGACGUGGAAGUGUCAGCCAUGAUGGGUGGGGAGUGGCCUGCUGCUCCUCCUGGGAAGAGAAGAAGGUGAAGACUCAGGGUGCGUCUGCAGGGAGACAGUGGGAGCUGUGGGGUCGUGGAUGACGCUGAUCCUGUCAUUAGCAUCUGAGCGAGGUCACAGGGAUGUGGGGCCUCGUUAACAAUGCCGGCAUCUCAACGUUCGGGGAGGUGGAGUUCACCAGCCUGGAGACCUACAAGCAGGUGGCAGAAGUGAACCUUUGGGGCACAGUGCGGAUGACGAAAUCCUUUCUCCCCCUCAUCCGAAGGGCCAAAGG